rnacentral:rRNA from 1 species
AUUGAACGCUGGCGGCAGGCUUAACACAUGCAAGUCGAGCGGGGUGAUGGUGCUUGCACUAUCACUUAGCGGCGGACGGGUGAGUAAUGCUUGGGAAUCUGCCUAUUAGUGGGGGACAACAUCUCGAAAGGGAUGCUAAUACCGCAUACGUCCUACGGGAGAAAGCAGGGGAUCACUUGUGACCUUGCGCUAAUAGAUGAGCCUAAGUUGGAUUAGCUAGUUGGGGGGGUAAAGGACUACUAAGGCGACGAUCUGUAGCGGGUCUGAGAGGAUGAUCCGCCACACUGGGACUGGUACACGGCCCAGACUCCUACGGGAGGCAGCAGUGGGGAAUAUUGGACAAUGGGGGGAACCCUGAUCCAGCCAUGCCGCGUGUGUGAAGAAGGCCUUAUGGUUGUAAAGCACUUUAAGCGAGGAGGAGGCUCUUUUGGUUAAUACCCAAGAUGAGUGGACGUUACUCGCAGAAUAAGCACCGGCUAACUCUGUGCCAGCCGCCGCAGUAA